UUUGGAAUUGAGGUCUUGCAGCAUCCAAUGCCAGAGCAGGAGCCAAGUUCAUCUGGAUUCCCAUCUUCAUUGCAGAAAGUGAUACACCCGCUACGCAACUCCUUGCCUUCAGUGAUAAAAGCCGUUACAUUGCAACCGAGAACUAUGAACUUGUUUGAGUUGGACAACAUAAAUGGGCUGCCUUCCAGGUUGAAUCCACCAUAGAAUAUUUUAUCAGUCAGAGUAUGCUUCUUAUUGCGUUCAGAUGCACUUUGAAGGCUAACAGUAACUGUGCCUUGUGCCAGUGAUAUACCAAGAACAGGAAUGUUUUGAAGCAAAAAUGGCUGACCAUUGUUGCACUUGAGAAGGAAAUUCUUGUCCUUAGCACAUUCAGCAUUUCCAAUUCCAAAUGGGUAAGGAAUCAUUACUUUCCCACAUUGGUAACUGCAGUUCGACUCUGCAAGCGAGAAUGCUGGUGUUUUACUAAUUCCUUCUUCGAUCCAUGGCCAUAUGAGCAGCAUCAGCAACAACCACGGCUUCAUCCUCAUCUCACAACUUAUUUUCAGAUUCUAAUCAAAAGUCAGCUGCUCUUCUGAAGCACACCGUGUCUGCUGGUAUAUAUAUCAAAGCACCGUGAUUUUAACUUUGUGGGGAUGGCCCGGAGAGCACUGAGCCUACAAUUAGGAACCGAUCACAUCCACACGUUACCACACCUACAAUUUGGGGAGGCUACCAUCUUCAGUCUUCAGCCGCUGCCACCAACGAUGAAGCCAUCUCAUUCAGACACUGCCAUGAAAAUAAAAAAUACUUCUCUUCAAAUUUCUUAUGGUUUUCAAUGAAAUGAUCAUGAGCGAGCUAAGCUGAUGUCAAAAAGAAAGAAAACAAAAAUCACAGUUGCUAUAAAAAUGAGUCAUGUCAAUUUUCGUACUAUUUAAAAUGCGAUUUUAGAGACAUACAAUACAAAAUUCUCACAAAAUAAGCUUCCCCUCUCGCCCCUAAUUGCAACAAUUUUGUCCUUGAAGCGAUAUAUUCAGUUACCCUUCUGUGAUCACAAGCAAAAAGGAGUUAUAUAUACCAAGAGAGCUAAGAGAUUUUAUUUCCCGAGAAAGUCCUGCCAAAAAAUUCCCCCAAACGUGAAAGUGGUGCAAACAUGACAAACGAUAAUUGAUUAUUGAUUAAGGGCCCCUUUUGUGGGGAAAGUUAUCACUUUUUGUUUCUGCCGGUGCAAAAUUCAAUUCUUUCUGUCUCUUUCAACUCUUAGUUCUUAGGCAUUAGGCAGCUCUGGGUCAAUGGAUUGUGAGAUGAAGUUCGGAGAAGGAGCUCCAAUGAGGACGAGUAAUCCCAGAUAUUUCUGUCGUUGUUAUCUUCAAGCAAUAUAAAAAGGUGCGCGUGCCGCCUCAAUAGUGACUGCAGGCCUAAGUUUGAUGCUCUUUCCAUGAGCUUUCUCUUGGGGUAGCAAAGGGCAUGCUGCACAAAUUCUUGAGUUAGGUGUGCUACAAUCAAUUAAUAUAGAUAAGGUACAACGUUCAUAAAGUACAAAGUUCCGAUCACUUAAUAACAAUUACUUAAUGACUAAUAUGAGUUCCUUAUUCUCUUGUAGAUAAUAGUUUGUUUGAUUGAAUAUAUAUAUACUUAUGUUUCAUCGGUAAAACCCUUCAUUAUAUGCUAGGAAGCGGCACAUAAUUUUUACAAGGUAAGGAUGAUUAUGGUCAAGGCAUUGGCUCGAGGGAAAGGUUCUUUGCAUAUGCAUGUGUUCCCAUAAGAUUGUAUAAAAAUUGUUCGUUUUAGGUCUAAUAGACCAUUGAUAUUAUUUGCUUUGGAUCUAUUAAACUUUCAGAGCUUUAAAAUACGUCUACACGUUUAUGAGGAAGUCAUAUACAUAGUGCCAAGAACUUUUUUAUUUAUAUCACAUGUGUGAUAUCAUAAUUAUCCCUAUGAUGUUGUAUUCCACAAGAUUAUCUUGCACUGAUAAACAAACUCCCUUAUUGGGACCAAGAAUCAAUUUUAAUACCAUUUAUAAUAGUUAACUUCUAACUAUAUAAAUAUUAUAUGUUUUAAACUUUAUAAGUCUUUAUGAUUUUAAAACGCAUGAUUAAAAGGAAUUUAUAUAUAGUGUCAAAAAAAAAAAAAUCUCUAUCCGAUAUGGAUAUCAUAGUAUAUAAAAGCAAGUUUUUUCUAUAUGAUUGUAAUAAAUAAUUGAUAUCAAAUAUUAUUCUUAACUGAGUAAACACCCUUAGAACUAUAUAUGACUUUAAAAUCCUUAAAUCAUGUACCAAAAAACAAUUUUUUUUGUACAUGAUUGUAAUACUUGAUAUCAAACACUAUAUAUAGUAAUAUUUUCUUAACUGAGAAAACACCCCUUAAAACUAUGAGUUUAAAGUCCUAAAUAUUCAUUAAACUUAUAAUCAGACAAUAUUUACGUAGGAGUUAAGGAGUAGGUCAUUAUAAAUAGUAUCAAAUUAAAUUUUUCAUCCCUUAUUUUAGAUUCUGUCUACGUGACUCCAUAGUCUUAUCAUAUAUCUCUUAAGAGAAAGUGAUUAUGAUUUUCCAUGUUCAAUAGGAAAAAAAUGCAUAUAGAUUAAAAUAUGUCUAGAAGUCGUGGUCCGUGAUGCCCUUUGGACCCCUGAAUAGACACUAUGCGGACUCGGGAAGGUUGAAUUAUUUCUUGGAAAGACCAGUGAGAACAUAACCCAACCAGCUUGAGGAGUGCAUGGUUUCACACAGCCAAGGCGCAUAAAAUGUCUUGGUUCAUUUUGUGAGUUCAUUUUUUGUUUGACUGUAAAAUUCUUCUGACACGGCCAAACAAGGGGAAUGCCCUUUGAAAUGUGUGAAGCAUGUGGUCGGUUGCAUGCUCUUCCUCCACUUGACUUUGUUGAACAAAACUUUUCCCCACAUGUUUCAAGGAAGGUUACAAAAUGUGUUACAUAACCUGUCCUUACAAUCUCAUAGAGAUGAAAUAUCUAUCUUGUUUGAUUUUCUCAUACUAGUGCCUAUUUGUUAGUGUGUCGAAAUGGUAUUUGUUAGUGUCCAUCCAAUUGUUAAUGGCUUAUUUCUAAUGUUGAAGCUUCUUGAAAAUGAUGGAUAUGAGUUCUGUGACACGAAACCGAUCGAAUUGACAUCACAAGAGUAAAGGACAUAUUGACGCUGAUUUACUCGAUCAUUCUGCUUACAUUACGUAGUGGAACAAAUUAAUAUAUGCUAUGGAGCUAUUAGAUUUUAUAAUUAUUUUCCUUCAUGAAAGGAUAAAAUAUAUAUAUAUAUAUAUAUAUAUAUAUAUAUAUAUAUAUCGGUACUUUGAUUUUACGGAUAUAUUGGAUAUAUCGAAUAUAUCUCGACAGAUAUUUAAAAAAAUAAUAUUAAUAUGUCUAAAAUUGAUCAAAAUUUAUUAAAAUAUAAAAAAAACUUCAUAAAAAUAUAAUUAGAAGUAUAAUAGAUAUUUUUAAAUUGUUUUAUUAAAGAAUUUGAUAUAUGUAUAAUAUGAUCAUCAUAUUUAAUUCAAUUGUAUUAAAUGAUAUAAAAUAAAUUGUGAUAUAUGUACAAUUCUUUAAUAUUUAAUUAAUAUAUUAAUGAUAUUAAAAAUACUAUGAAGAAAAUUAUCAUGAUAAUUUUAAUAUUUUUGGUAAUCAAUUAAAAGAAAUUUUUGCAUUUAAUUAUAAAAUAAUUAUAAUUAAUUUGCUCUCUAAAAUAUUUUUUUAAUAUUUUCUUUAUAUAACGACUUUGAAUAUAUAUCUAUAGUGUCUUAUAUUCAACAAGGGGCAAACUUGCCCUAGUAGUAAGGUGGCUUGAACCCUAAACACUUGGGGUUCGAGUCCCCUUAACAACAAAAAUUGGAAUUUUUGAGGAGCACUGUAUAGCGAGUUUGACGUACCCGACGAAAUAUCGCAAAUUUUUGAAGAUUUUUCCCAAAAUUUAGAACCAUAUUUCUCCACUAAAUAUCGUUUUCAUAACCUUUAAUAUACGAUAUAUCACCGAUAUAUCUCGAUAUUUUUUUCCAUGCAUGUAAGUAUUAUUUACUCUAAACCAAUGUAUCUCACAACUUUAAAAUGAGUCUACUCAAUUAAAAAAAGUCUGCUAUAUAAAUAUAAAUAAAUAAAUAUAUAUACAUAUAGUGUUAGAAACUUAUUUUUUUUUAUUGGUAUUAUAUUGGAUAUCACAAUCAUGCCAUACGCAUAAAACAUUUUUAGUUUGUUCUCACAAGAUUAUGAGAUCACUCAAAGUCUCACACAAGGGUUGGGAAUCGAUUCUCAUACCAUUCUACAAGACCUGCUCCCUCCCAUUAUAGAUGUCAAAGGGAGCAUGUGGUUACAAGUAUUUGUGAGAUUAUGCCACUAGACAUUCGGUCUAAUUUUAACAUAAGGCAACCAAAGCAUACCCCUUAAUGUCUGGUCAUGGCUUUGCUACGAGUGAUUUGCAAUGGAUUUGGAUGCUUGAUUAGUGUUGAAGACAUGCUUAGGACUAUUGAUGUGGUGUCAUAAAUUUUUUUAGUUCUUUUGAAUGUUUCAAAGUUGUUGUUGUUAGCUUUUAGGUGUUGGUUGUUUUUCUGUUUUGUAUGUUUUGUUCAUGGCUUAAUCCUUUGUCCACAUUUAUAGUGGGUAGUUGUUGAUUAAGUUUUUAUAAUAACUUCUAAUGAUUAAUGAAUUAUUGUUGUUCUGGUUUGUUUUACUUCUACGAUAUUUUCAUGUUUUUCUUCAUUUUUGUUUUUUUUUUUAAAAAAAAAAACUACAAAUGGUAUCAGAGCUUCUAUUCUUAAGAGACCAGUGGUGUUUAGGUUGAGUUCUCAAAGACGCCAUGGAAGCCGAAUCAAGCUUUUCUUCAAUCGCCCCUCUAGUCUUCGAUGGUGACAAUUAUCAAUUUUGAGCCGUUAAGAUGGAGACGUACCUUGAUGUUAUGGACCUUUAAGAAGUUGUGGAAGAGGAUUAUGAAAUCAUUCUUCUUCCAAACAAUCCAACGAUGGCUCAGAUUAAGCAUCAUAAGGAAAGAAAAACAAAUAAGUCCAAGGCAAAAGCUUGCUUGUUUCCUGUUGUUUCUUCCAUAAUCUUUACUUGCAUCAUGUCAUUAAGAUCAGCAAAGAUGAUCUGGGAUUAUCUCAAGACGAAAUACGAAGGAGAUGAAAGAAUAAGAGGAAUGCAAGUUCUAAAUCUGAUUCGGGACUUUGAGUUACAGAAGAUGAAGGAGACUGAAUCCAUCAAAGGGUAUUCUGACAGGUUGCUUGACAUUGCAAACCGAGUUAGAUUACUUGGUUCUUCCUUGCCAAACUCAAGAAUAGUUGAAAAAAUCCUUGUGAUGAUGCUUAAAAGAUUUGAGGCAUCCAUUAUAGCCUUAGAAAACACUAAGGACUUGUCAAUGAUCACACUCUCAGAGCUUUUAAAUGCACUAUAAGCACAAGAGCAAAGAAAAGUUAUGAGGUAGGACGGUGCUAUCGAGGGAGCUUUACCAUUCAAGCAUCAUGGGAAUGCAAGAAAUAACAAGAAUAAGAAGGGUAAAAAAACAUCAAGGCUCAAAUGGAGAAUAUACUAAAAACAACAACAAGAGCAAAACUGGAAACAAAAAGGAACCCCAUCCUCCCUAUCAGCAUUGUGGUGGAAAAUCUCAUCCGUAUUUCAAAUGUUGGAGAAGACCUGACGCCAAGUGCACCAAAUGCAACUAGAUGGGGCAUGAAGCUGUCAUAUGCAAAAACAAAAAUCAGCAACAUGAUGAAGAGGUAUAGGUUGUUAAUCAAGAGGAGGAUCAAUUGUUUGUGCCUAAAUGUUUCUCUGGCAUGGAAUCAAGUGAGAGUUGGCUCAUUGAUAGUGGUUGCACUAACCACAUGACACAUAGGAUCUAUUCAAGGAACUAAGAAGCACAAACACGUCGAAGGUUCGAAUUGGAAAUCGCUAGUACAUAAUUGUGGAAGAAAAUGGAACAGUUGCAAUUUCAAGUUGUUCAGGUACAAAGCUCAUUUCUGAUGUGUUGUAUGUCCCUGAAAUAAAUCAAAAUUUGUUAAGUGUUGGACAACUAAUUGAAAAGGAUUAUAAAGUUGUGUUUGAAGACAAAAGUUGCUUAAUUAAAGAUGCGGUUGGCCAAAGUAUUUUCAGAGUAAAAAUGAGAGGGAGAAACUUUGCUCUAAAUCCAUUAGAGGAGGAGCAAAUCACUUUCCCAAUCAAAGAAAAUAUCACAAAGGUGUGGCACAAAAGGCUUGGGCACUAACAUCAUUAGGGGUUGUUACAAAUGAAAUCUAAGAUAAUGGUGAAUGACCUUUCAGACCUUGAUGAUCACAUUCCAAAUUGCAAAGCAUGUCAGUUUGGUAAGCAAAACAUAAAACCAUUACCUAAGGUGACAUGGAGAGCAUCAAAGAAGCUACAAUUGAUUCAUUCAAACAUUGUUGGCCCUCAAAGAACACCUUCUUUAAAAUGUAGUCUUUAUUAUGUUGUAUUUAUUGAUGAUUUUACUCAGACGCGUUGGAUUUUCUUUUUGAAGCAUAAAUCAAAGGUAGCACAAGUCUUCUAGAAAUUUAAAGUCAAAAUGGAAAAUGAGAGUGGUUGUAGAAUUCAAACUCUCAUAUCAGACAAUGGCAAGGAAUACACAUCUGAAUCAUUCAAUUGAUUCUGCGAUGAGGCAAGCAUUCAACAUUAAUUUACCACUUCAUAUACUCCGCAACAAAAUGGAGUAAGUGAAAGAUAGAACGGAUACAUUUUGGAGAUGACAAGAUGUAUGUUACAUGAGAAGAAUCUACCUAAGUAGUUCUGGGCAGAAGCAACACACACAAUUGUCUUCUUGCAAAACAAGCUUCCCAUAAGAGCAAUGAAGGAUCAAACACCCUCUGAGGCAUGGUAUGGCUAUAAACCAUCCUUGCAUUUCCUUAAAAUAUUUGGUUGUUUGUGCUUCACUCACAUUCCACAGAUCAAGAGAGAUAAGCUAGAUAAAAGAGCACUUCUAGGCAUCUUCAUUGGCUACAACUCGGUUAUAAAAGCUUAUAAAGUUUUUCAGCCAUAAACUAGAAAUAUUGUUAUAAGCGGGGUUGUGCACUUUGUGGAAGAUGAAAAAUGGAACUGGGAAAAUGCGAAACAGAAUAAUGGAAAUUGGCAAAAUGACAUGGUAGAUGAUGUUCCAAUUAGAGGCACGAGGUUGCUUUCUGAUGUAUAUCAGAGAUGCAAUAUUGCUGCAUGUGAACCUACAGACCAUGAAGAAGCAAUGAAGAAUCAGAAUUGGAUGAUUGCAAUAAAGGAGGAGCUAUUAAUGAUAGAGAAAAACAAAACAUGGAUUCUUGUUGAAAGGCUUAGAGACGGGAAGGUGAUUGGAGUUAAAUGGGUGUAUAGAACUAAGCUUAAUGUUGAUGGUCCUAUUAACAAAAACAAAGCAAGACUUGUUGUGAAAGGUUAUAAUCAAAUUUUUGGCAUGGACUACUAGGAUAUGUUUGCUCCAAUUGCUCGAUUAGAUAACAUUAGGCUACUACUUGAUGUAGCUACUCAAAAAGAUUGGAGAGUGUAUCAACUUGAUGUCAGAUUAGCCUUCUUAAACGGUUACUUGUAGGAAGAAAUCUAUGUUGAGCAACCUAAGGGCUUUGUGAAGGAAGGAGAAGAAGACAAGGUUUAACUUCUCAAGAAGGGUCUUUAUGGCCUGAAACAAGCUCCAAGAGCUUGGUACAGCAGAAUCGAUGAACAUUUGCUGAAUUUAAGAUUUUCUAAAAGCUUAUCUGAAUCAACAUUAUAUGUCAAGCACAAUGGAGCUAGCAUUCUUAUCAUCUCAUUGUACGUGGAUGAUCUACUUGUGACUGGGAACCACACAAGUCUUGUGGAGAAGUUUAAGCUAGAGAUGAUGGAAGUUUUUGAGAUGAUGGAUCUAGGUUUGAUGACUUUUUUCCUUGGAAUGGAAAUCAAAUAGAGUGAACAUGAAGUUUUUAUUUGUCAGAAGAAAUACACCAAAGAGAUACUCAAGAAGUUCAAAGUAGAUGAAUGCAAGGAGAUAAGAACUCCUAUGAAUCAAAAGGAGAAGCUCAAUAAAGAUUAUGGAACUGACAUGAUUGAUCAGACAUAUUUCAAAAGCACGAUUGGUUGCUUGAUGUAUCUCACAACAACAAGGCCCGACAUCUUGACUGUUGUAACCAUUUUGUCUCGGUUUAUACAUUGUGCAAGUGAAAUGCAUCUCAAGGUAGCAAAGAGGGUGAUUAGAUAUGUUGAAGGCACCUAUGAUUUUGGCAUCAAAUUUGCAAGAAGCAAAGAGUUUGAGCUGGUUGGUUUUUCAGAUAGUGAUUGGGAAGGCUCCAUUGAUGAUAUGAGGAGUACUUCAGGCUAGUGUUUCACUUUUGGUUCUAGUUUUUUCUCUUGGUGCUCGAAAAAACCAAGAAAUUGUAGCCUAAUCUACAGCUGAAGCAAAGUUUAUUACUGCCACAGCUGUAUUAAAUCAAGCUAUUUGGCUAAGGAAUAUCUUAAAUGAUCUUAACAUGGAGUAAAAGGAAAGCACGAAGACACUUAUUGACAACCAAGUUGUCAUUGUUAUCUCUUAUAAUCCUAUGUUUCAUGGGAAAACUAAGCAUUUUAAUAUUAAGUUAUUCUUCUUAAGAGAAGUGCAGAAAGAUGGAGAUGUGAUUCUUCUCUAUUGCAAAGCAAAAGAUCAAGUUGUGGAUGUUUUCACCAAGCCACUACAAGUUAGCAAAUUUGAAUUUUUAAAGACAAAACUCGGUGUUUGCAAUUCCUGAAGCAAGGAGGAGUGUUGAAGACAUACUUAAGACUGUUAAUGUGGUGUCAUAAAGUUUUUAGUUGUUUUGAAUGCUUCAAAGUUGUUGUUGCUAGCUUUUAGGUGUUGGUUGUUUUUCUGUUUUGCAUGUUUUGUUCAUGACUUAAUCCUUUGUCCACGUUUAUAGUGGGUAGUUGUUGAUUAAGUUUUUAUUAUAAUUUUUUAUAAUUAAUGAAUUAUUGUUGUUCUGGUUUGUUUUACUUUUGCAAUAUCUUUCUGUUUUUCUUCAUCCUUGGUUUUUUUUUAAAAAAAAAAAAAACCUACAAUAAGGAUCCAGAAUUUUUUUUCUUUUUUUAAAUUGUUCAUCUUCACUUGACUCUAAUUUUAUAUUCCCAUGGAUUCAGAGCUAAGAGUUUUCUUCCAUAGUUGGGUUGUAUACUUACUUUCAGAAUAAACGUAGGAGCUGUGCCAGUGGAUCAUGACCUGGCAGCAACUAUAGCUGCUACCAGUAUGAUGAAGUCUAAUUCAAACAUGAAUCCUUCAGGCAGCUUUGGAUUACAAGUUCAAAGAAAUCAGGCUGUUUCAUUUUGUUUAAUCAACUCUAAUUUGACAAAUGAUUUGGGAUUUCAAACUAACUAAAAAUUCAAGAUCUGUUUUAGACAGAAUUCAAAGUUGGUUUUAGGCCAAACAAUUCAACUACCGUUGCUUUUAUUCCCCCGCCUGUUUUAUAGUUUUCACACUGACACCAACCUUAAGGCUGUGUUUAUAUUAUGGCAAACUUGUGAUAAUCAGCUCAGUCAAAUUAGACUUAAAUCUCAUAAUCACAUAAACUCACCAUUGAUGAAUAAUGCUAGAGGUCUGUGAAGUGGAAUAGUUGGAAUUUCAAGUACAAGGGAUUAAGGUUAAAUGCCUCGAAGGUCUCAUUGAGAUGUACAAUGCAUUUAGAAUUGAGUUGAUGGGGCAGAAGAAAAAUUACAGGGUAGGAGCUCUUUCAGCAGUUCCAGCGAUAACAGUGAGCAAGUUGUUUCCGAAUGGGUCGCUCAGAUGGGCUGCAAGGUUCUCAACAGGGCCUUCUCCUGUAACGUAAGCUUGGAUGAAGAAGCCAAGCAUGGCAAACAUCGCCAGUCUACCAUUCUUAAUCUCCUUCACCUUAAGCAGUGCAGCCUGGUCUGGGUCAUUUGCAAGCCCCAGAGGAUCAAAAGGACCACCUGGGUGAAGCUUGUCCUCCAAAUCCUACAGCAAAAAGACCAAUAAUGAGAUCAUAUGACCAGUGAUGCUACAUCUUUGGGCAUACUAAUGAAUGUUGACUUAAUGCAAUAUUAAGAAUUCGUUUCAUAGUGAUUCUAAAAAGCAAUUCUAGCAUUUCUAAUACUUGAAAAUUUUUAUUGAAGAGUUGUUUUCAGGUAUUAAAAUGCUAAAAACGCUUCUUAGAAUCACGAUCGAUCAAACAAGCUCUAAAUCAAGUUUCAACAUCCAGUUUUACAGUAAUAAGGACUAAAAUGGACAGAAUAUGCAGAAAAAACAUGUGAUAUUUUGCUUAUUGCACACGAUACUUUUUAAAGACAUAUGCAGAAAAAACAUGUGAUAUUUUGCUUAUUACACACGAUACUUUUUAAAGACAUCCAGGGUAUUACUCGUAAACCCGAAAGGAACUUUUGAGACUAGGCUUUUAAAUGAAAGGGCAUUCAAGCAAUGGCACUGUAUUUACUUCCAAACUAAUAUACAAUUAUCAGAAGGUAUUGUUGAACACCUCUUUAGAACAUCUAAUACAAGAAAAGGAUAUUGAAAGAUAUGUAACGAGUAGAGGUUUAUAUACCAAGCCAUUGAUUAUUCUGUAGUACUCAGCACCACCAACAAGAACAACCUCAGCGACGACAGCAAAAAUAAGGUUAAUGGGGAUGUUCUUUCCGAAGUAAUUCAGUGUGUUCCCAUCAAGGAGUAAAGCUCCUGUCUGCAUUCAGGUCAGAAAACCUCAUCAGCCAAAGCAAAUGAUGAAUGAAAUAUUCAGAAACUUAUCAAUAAUUCCCGCAUCAGAAGAAGAUGAUGGGCAAUGGGCAAUGGGCAAUGGGCAAUGGGCAAUGGUGAAAUUUCUGUUAGGGGAAUGUUAAACUAAAAUAGACGAGUUUUUCAGACCCCAAGCUUUUCCACAUUCAUUGAUGUAAUUUUGUAGUGUAUUCUGCCUUCCUCGAAUUCCCCUUCUUGUGGGAGUACAAAUCCAAGGAAAGGGUGGAUAAAUUUUUUGAGGAAUUUGGAAAAGGGAAGUUAAGGAAGCAAACCUUGAACCACACAGCUU
rnacentral:lncRNA from 1 species